GUAGUUGGUGGGGUAAUGGCCCACCAAGCCGACGAUCCUUAGCUGGUCUGAGAGGAUGAUCAGCCACACUGGGACUGAGACACGGCCCAGACUCCUACGGGAGGCAGCAGUGGGGAAUAUUGGACAAUGGGCGAAAGCCUGAUCCAGCAAUGCCGCGUGAGUGAUGAAGGCCUUAGGGUUGUAAAGCUCUUUUACCAGGGAUGAUAAUGACAGUACCUGGAGAAUAAGCUCCGGCUAACUCCGUGCCAGCAGCCGCGGUAAUACGGAGGGAGCUAGCGUUGUUCGGAAUUACUGGGCGUAAAGCGCACGUAGGCGGCUAUUCAAGUCGGGGGUGAAAGCCCGGGGCUCAACCCCGGAACUGCCCUCGAAACUAGGUAGCUAGAAUCUUGGAGAGGCGAGUGGAAUUCCGAGUGUAGAGGUGAAAUUCGUAGAUAUUCGGAAGAACACCAGUGGCGAAAGCGACUCGCUGGACAAGUAUUGACGCUGAGUGCGAAAGCGUGGGGAGCAAACAGAUUAGAUACCCUGGUAGUCACGCCGUAAACGAUGAUGACUAGCUGUCUGGGCGCUUAGCGUUCAGUGCGCAGCUAAC
rnacentral:rRNA from 1 species